rnacentral:rRNA from 1 species
GAUCAGUAGCUGGUCUGAGAGGACGAUCAGCCACACUGGGACUGAGACACGGCCCAGACUCCUACGGGAUGCUGCAGUGGGGAAUUUUCCGCCAUGGGCGAAAUCCUGACGGAGCAAGACCGCGUGAGGGAGGAAGGCUCUUGGGUUGUAAACCUCUUUUCUCAGGGAAGAAGCUCUGACUGUACCUGAGGAAUCAGCCUCGGCUAACUCCGUGCCAGCAGCCGCGGUAAUACGGAGGAGGCAAGCGUUAUCCGGAAUUAUUGGGCGUAAAGCGUCCUCUUGUGGCGAUUCAAGUCUGCUGUCAAAGCACGGGGCUUAACUCCGUUAACGCACUGGAAACUGAAUAGCUAGAGUGCCGUAGGGGUAGACGGAAUUCCCGGUGUAGCGGUGAAAUGCGUACAGAUCGGGAAGAACAUCGGUGGCGAAAGCGCUCUACUGGACGGCAACUGACACUCAGGGACGAAAGCUAGGGGAGCGAAUGGGAUUAGAUACCCCAGUAGUCCUAGCUGUAAACGAUGGAUACUAGGUGUAGCUUGUAUCGACCCGAGCUGUGCCGAAGCUAACGCGAUAAGUAUCCAGCCUGGGGAGUACGCACGCAAGCGUGAUACUCAAAGGAAUUGACGGGGGCCCGCACAACCGGUGGAGUAUGUGGUUUAAUUCGAUGCAACGCGAAGAACCUUACCAGGGCUCGACAUGUCCGGAAUCCCGCUGAAAGCUGGGAGUGCCUUCGGGAGCCGGUACACAGCUGGUGCAUGGCUGUCGUCAGCUCGUGUCGUGAGAUGUUGGGUUAAGUCACGCAACGAGCGCAACCCUCGUCUUUAGUUGCCAGCAUUAAGUUGGGCACUCAUAGAGAGACUGCCGGUGACAAACCGGAGGAAGGUGGGGAUGACGUCAAGUCAGCAUGCCCCUUACGCUCUGGGCGACACACGUACUACAAUGGUCGGGACAGAGGGCAGCGAACCUGCGAAGGCAAGCUAAUCCCAGCAAACUCGGCCUCAGUUCAGAUCGCAGGCUGCAACUCGCCUGCGUGAAGGAGGAAUCGCUAGUAAUCGCCGGUCAGAAUA